rnacentral:rRNA from 1 species
UCAGGAUGAACGCUGGCGGCGUGCCUAACACAUGCAAGUCGAACGGUGGUGACUGAAAUUUCGGAUGGAUAUCACCAUAGUGGCGGACGGGUGAGUAACGCGUGGAUAACCUGCCUCGUACUGGGGAAUAGGCAGCUGGAAACGGCUGGUAAUACCGCAUAAGCGCACGAUGCCGCAUGGCAUUGUGUGAAAAGAUUUAUCGGUACGAGAUGGAUCCGCGUCUGAUUAGCCAGUUGGCGGGGUAACGGCCCACCAAAGCGACGAUCAGUAGCCGGCCUGAGAGGGUGAACGGCCACAUUGGGACUGAGACACGGCCCAGACUCCUACGGGAGGCAGCAGUGGGGAAUAUUGCACAAUGGGCGAAAGCCUGAUGCAGCGACGCCGCCGUGAGUGAAGAAGUAUUUCGGUAUGUAAAGCUCUAUCAGCAGGGAAGAAAGGCCCGAAAGGGAGAUGACGGUACCUGACUAAGAAGCCCCGGCUAACUACGUGCCAGCCGCAGC